GGUCAAGUUAUUAAGGGUGCAGGGCGGAUGCCUUGGCACUAGGAGCCGAUGAAGGACGUGAUAAGCUGCGAUAAGCUUCGGGGAGUUGCACGUAAACUUUGAUCCGAAGAUUUCCGAAUGAGGAAACUCACUUAGAGUAAUGUCUAAGUAUCAUUAAGUGAAUACAUAGCUUAAUGAGGGGAACUCAGGGAACUGAAACAUCUAAGUACCUGAAGGAAGAGAAAGAAAUUCGAUUCCGUAAGUAGCGGCGAGCGAACGCGGAUUAGCCCAAACCAAUAAAGUUUUCUUUAUUGGGGUUGCGGACAUAUCAUAACG
rnacentral:rRNA from 1 species